ensembl:lncRNA
GUGGAACGAAGCAUGCCUCCUGCAUGCUUCCAGUUAACUCAGGAGUGCUCCCAGUGGCCACCUCUGGAUAAAUUCCUUGUCUGGGUUGCCUGCCUGGGGGAACCAAGAAGAUGUUGUUGAAGGCGGGAUCCUCUGGCCACCUUGCUGUACCCUUCCAGCCCUUCACCGCUCUAAGCUUAUCACCUCUAACUGGUCGUGGUGUCUGCUCUGUUGCCCCCUGCAAUUCCUGCUCCAUCCUGCAGCCAGAUGGUCUUCUUAAGGAUUAUGCAGGAGACCCCAGUUCGAUCCCUGGGUCAGAAGAUUCCCUGAAGAAGAGAAUGGCUACCCACUCCAGUAUUCUUGCCUAGAGAAUCCCAUGGACAGACAAGCCUGGCGGGCUACAGUCCACGGGGUUGCAAAGAGUCGGACAUGACGAGUGACUAAGCAUGCGUGAGGCCACUGGUGAUCUGGCCUCUCCUGACCUCUCUGAGCUCAGCUCUCAUUCUCUCUCCACCUGUGCUCCAGCACAAUGUAAGCAUUUCAAGAUUCAGACAAACAGAAUGUGUUCCCUUUCUUGACUGGGCUCUGCCCACUGCCACCUCCAGGCUUUUUGCAUCUGCUGUUCCCUUUGCCAGGAGCACCGUUCCCCUGUUUACGUGGCUGAAAUCAAUUCACUGAAAAGUUUCUCUGAUGCCCCCGGGGUCUCUCUCAUCAUGUCACACACCAGUGAAUCACUGGUUCAGUGCUGUACCCUCUAACUCUGCAAGGUCAGGGAUCAAGGCCGUCUUAUUCAUUCGUUCAUAUAUCUUCAGUGCCUGGCACACAGUAGGUGCUCAGUAAACACCAGUCAAAUGAAUGCCUGUGGAAAACGGAUGUUUGGGGUUAUGUGAUCCUGAAGGGUCCUGACGAUGAUGAUGACAACAAUGAUUAUAAAGUUAAGGUGUGGGUUAUCACCCCCCCUUUACAGUCUAGGAAAUGGAGGCUCAGAAAAGUGGGGGUCCCCAGUGCAGGGGCCUUACAGGAUUAGGGAAAGACAAGAAAUUCACAGAGCCAGCCCCACCUUCUCUGUACAUAUUGAUCUGGGAGGCCACUCACCAGCAUGGUGCAGAUGAUUGGGAAAAUCAACUGCCUAGGGUCUCACAGGGCUUCCCUGGUAGCUCGGUUGGUAAAGAAUCUGCCUGCAAUGCAGGAGACUCAGGUUCGAUCCCUGGGUGGAGAAGAUCCCCUAGAGAAGGAAAUGGCAACCCACUCCAGUAUUCUUGCCUGGAAAAUCCCAUGGACAGAGGAGCCUGGCAGGCUACAGUCCAUGGGGCUGCAAAGAGCUGGACACGACUUAGCAACUAAACCACCAUCAUGGUCUCACAGCUACCAAGUGGAGGAGCUUGGAUCUGCACCCAGCUUUGUUGGAUCCUAGAGCUCUAACGCACAGGCACUACCACCAUAAUUCCUUUUCCUGGAAUUCCAUUGUCCCUGUCAAGAUCUAAAGUUGUGCCCAUUUCCUCCUUGAAGUUCUCUGGGAGUCAAGCUGUUGGCUUUCCCCCAUAGACACAUGUAUAUUUCAGGCAGAGAUGGAAAAAGGUGUGCAUUUAGGAGAGGGCAAGUGGCUGGCACCGCUUCUUCCUGUGAGGGCUUCCUCACAAGACCUCACUGUCCCCCAGGGCUAAACCCACCAAACAGGAAAGCUGGAGGUGUUCUAAGCCUCCCCCUGGGAGGGGAGGAC